GACGAACGCUGGCGGCGUGCCUAAUACAUGCAAGUAGAACGCUGAAGAGAGGAGCUUGCUCUUCUUGGAUGAGUUGCGAACGGGUGAGUAACGCGUAGGUAACCUGCCUUGUAGCGGGGGAUAACUAUUGGAAACGAUAGCUAAUACCGCAUAACAAUAGAUGACACAUGUCAUUUAUUUGAAAGGGGCAAUUGCUCCACUACAAGAUGGACCUGCGUUGUAUUAGCUAGUAGGUGAGGUAACGGCUCACCUAGGCGACGAUACAUAGCCGACCUGAGAGGGUGAUCGGCCACACUGGGACUGAGACACGGCCCAGACUCCUACGGGAGGCAGCAGUAGGGAAUCUUCGGCAAUGGGGGCAACCCUGACCGAGCAACGCCGCGUGAGUGAAGAAGGUUUUCGGAUCGUAAAGCUCUGUUGUAAGUCAAGAACGAGUGUGAGAGUGGAAAGUUCACACUGUGACGGUAGCUUACCAGAAAGGGACGGCUAACUACGUG
rnacentral:rRNA from 1 species